rnacentral:rRNA from 1 species
GGCUCAGGACGAACGCUGGCGGCGUGCCUAAUACAUGCAAGUCGAGCGGACAGAAGGGAGCUUGCUCCCGGAUGUUAGCGGCGGACGGGUGAGUAACACGUGGGUAACCUGCCUGUAAGACUGGGAUAACUCCGGGAAACCGGAGCUAAUACCGGAUAGUUCCUUGAACCGCAUGGUUCAAGGAUGAAAGACGGUUUCGGCUGUCACUUACAGAUGGACCCGCGGCGCAUUAGCUAGUUGGUGGGGUAAUGGCUCACCAAGGCGACGAUGCGUAGCCGACCUGAGAGGGUGAUCGGCCACACUGGGACUGAGACACGGCCCAGACUCCUACGGGAGGCAGCAGUAGGGAAUCUUCCGCAAUGGACGAAAGUCUGACGGAGCAACGCCGCGUGAGUGAUGAAGGUUUUCGGAUCGUAAAGCUCUGUUGUUAGGGAAGAACAAGUGCGAGAGUAACUGCUCGCACCUGAC